rnacentral:rRNA from 1 species
CGUGCCGCAGCUAACGCAAUAAGUGCCCCGCAUGGGGAGUACGGCCGCAAGGCUGAAACUCAAAGGAAUUGACGGGGGCCCGCACAAGCGGUGGAGCAUGUGGUUUAAUUCGAUGCAACGCGAAGAACCUUACCAGGUCUUGACAUCUGGCGAACUUGGUGGAAACACUGAGGUGCCUUCGGGAGCGCCAAGACAGGUGGUGCAUGGUUGUCGUCAGCUCGUGUCGUGAGAUGUUGGGUUAAGUCCCGCAACGAGCGCAACCCCUGCUAUUAGUUGCUAACAUUUAAGGUGAGCACUCUAAUGGGACUGCCUGUGACAAGCAGGAGGAAGGUGGGGAUGACGUCAAAUCAUCAUGCCCUUUAUGAUCUGGGCUACACACGUGCUACAAUGGAUGGUACAGAGAGCAGCGAGACUGCGAAGUGGAGCGAAUCUCAAAAAGCCAUUCUCAGUUCGGAUUGCAGUCUGCAACUCGACUGCAUGAAGUCGGAAUCGCUAGUAAUCGCGAAUCAGCAUGUCGCGGUGAAUGCGUUCCCGGGCCUUGUACACACCGCCCGUCACACCACGAAAGUCGGCAACACCCGAAGCCAGUGAGCCAACUAGCAAUAGAGGCAGCUGUCGAAGGUGGGGUUGGUGAUUGGGGUGAAGUCGUAACAAGGUAUCCGUACCGGAAGGUGCGGAUG